rnacentral:rRNA from 1 species
UAGUCAAGAUGAGAAUUCUAAGGUGAGCGAGCGAACUCUCGUUAAGGAACUCGGCAAAAUGACCCCGUAACUUCGGGAGAAGGGGUGCUCUUUAGGGUUAACGCCCAGAAGAGCCGCAGUGAAUAGGCCCAAGCGACUGUUUAUCAAAAACACAGGUCUCUGCUAAACCGUAAGGUGAUGUAUAGGGGCUGACGCCUGCCCGGUGCUGGAAGGUUAAGAGGAGUGGUUAGCUUCUGCGAAGCUACGAAUCGAAGCCCCAGUAAACGGCGGCCGUAACUAUAACGGUCCUAAGGUAGCGAAAUUCCUUGUCGGGUAAGUUCCGACCCGCACGAAAGGCGUAACGAUUUGGGCACUGUCUCAACGAGAGACUCGGUGAAAUCAUAGUACCUGUGAAGAUGCAGGUUACCCGCGACAGGACGGAAAGACCCCGUGGAGCUUUACUGUAGCCUGAUAUUGAAAUUCGGCACAGCUUGUACAGGAUAGGUAGGAGCCUUUGAAACGUGAGCGCUAGCUUACGUGGAGGCGCUGGUGGGAUACUACCCUAGCUGUGUU